rnacentral:lncRNA from 1 species
AUCGUAACCAUGCUGUGAACAUCAUAAUGGAGUUGACUCUUCACCAGUCUGGAGAUGACACAGCCAUGGCCAUGGGCACAGCCAUGACACUAGGCAGCAGCUGGAGAACCCCAGUGACUGACAUGCCUUUAUCCGUGUGACCGAAGGCUUUCUGCAGAGCUUGAGUGCCCUGGUGGCAGCCUACAAUUAAUACUUCAAGCCAGAGUGCAAAAGGAAGGGCAUUCCAGAUGGAAAUAACCUUAAGAGUCCACCAACAACCAGCACACCACCACAGCUGCUUCUCAGGGAGGACACGUUACUCAGCUGGGCAGCAAUGCAGAGAGUGGCUGAGAUACUAGGAGAAUAAGCUGUAGCCUGACUGGAAAAUCUUGAAGACUGGCUGACGAGAUGUCCAUCCCAAGGUGCUGGCCAAGCAUCAGGCUUCCAGACUGGCUCUCCAGAAACGCUCUGCAUCAUGGGAGGGGAGUCAGACGGAGAGGAAGGGUCAGUCUACCCCUAUCCCUACUCGCAACCAAGCACAUUUUCAGUCCCCAUCACAGCUCCAAAGGAAGGAAAAGCAAUUUUCUCCUGGGGAACCAGUGACAUUGGACUGAACUAGCAGAUGCUGGUGUGAAGACGUGGUGACAGGACCACUCAGCAAUGUGUAAACGUGAGGUGGCGGCAGCUGCUUAAUCACACCUGCACGAAUUCACAAUUGAUACACUCCAGUUAUUUCUAACUUUAAAUUCUGAAAUAAUUAUAGGCUCACAGAAAGUUGCAAAAAUAGCACAGAGAGGGUGGUGUAUGCCUUUUCCAUCCGGCUUCCUCCAGUAGUAACUAUACAAUAGAUCUAUGAUCCAUUGGUAGAAUACUGCUCACCAGACUGGAG